AGUGAACGCUGGCGGUAGGCCUAACACAUGCAAGUCGAACGGCAGCACAGGAGGGCUUGCUCCCUGGGUGGCGAGUGGCGGACGGGUGAGGAAUACAUCGGAAUCUACUUUUUCGUGGGGGAUAACGUAGGGAAACUUACGCUAAUACCGCAUACGACCUACGGGUGAAAGCAGGGGAUCUUCGGACCUUGCGCGAUUGAGUGAGCCGAUGUCGGAUUAGCUAGUUGGCGGGGUAAAGGUCCACCAAGGCGACGAUCCGUAGCUGGGCUGAGAGGAUGAGCAGCCACACUGGAAUAGAGACACGGUCCAGACUCAUACGGGAGGGAGCAGUGGGGGAUAUUAGACAGUGGGCUCAAGCCUAAUCCAGCCCUACCGCGUGGGUGAAGAAGGACUUCGGGUUGUAAAGCCCUUUUGUUGGGAAAGAAAUCCAGCUGGUUAAUACCCGGUUGGGAUGACGGUACCCAAAGAAUAAGCACCGGCUAACUUCGUGCCAGCCGCCGCCGUAACAC
rnacentral:rRNA from 1 species